UACGUAGGGUGCAAGCGUUAAGUCGGAAUUACUGGGCGUAAAGCGUGCGCAGGCGGUUUGGUAAGACAGAUGUGAAAUCCCCGGGCUUAACCUGGGAAUUGGCAUUUGUGACUGCCCGGCUAGAGUGUGUCAGAGGGGGGUAGAAUUCCACGUUGUAGCAGUGAAAUGCGUAGAUAUGUGGAGGAAUACCGAUGGCGAAGGCAGCCCCCCUGGGAUAACACUGACGCUCAUGCACGAAAGCGUGGGGAGCAAACAGG
rnacentral:rRNA from 1 species